AACGAACGCUGGCGGCAUGCCUAACACAUGCAAGUCGAACGAGACCUUCGGGUCUAGUUGCGCACGGGUGCGUAACGCGGGGGAACCUGCCCUUAGGUUCGGAAUAACUCCCCGAAAGGUGUGCUAAUACCGGAUAAUGUCUUCGGACCAAAGAUUUAUCGCCUUUGGAUGGGCCCGCGUUGGAUUAGCUAGUUGGUAGGGUAAAAGCCUACCAAGGCGACGAUCCAUAGCUGGUCUGAGAGGAUGAUCAGCCACACUGGGACUGAGACACGGCCCAGACUCAUACGGGAGGCAGCAGUGGGGAAUACUGGACGAUGGGCGAAAGCCUGAUAAAGCAAUGCCGCGUGAGUGAUGCAGGCCUUAGGGUUGUAAAGCUCUUUUACACGGGAUGAUAAUGACAGUACCGGGAGAAUAAGCUCCGGCUAACUCCGUG
rnacentral:rRNA from 1 species